rnacentral:rRNA from 1 species
AUUGAACGCUGGCGGCAUGCUUUACACAUGCAAGUCGAACGGAGUUGGAGCUUGCUCCAAUUUAGUGGCGAACGGGUGAGUAAUAUAUCGGAACGUACCCGGCAAUGGGGGAUAACGUAGCGAAAGCUACGCUGAUACCGCAUAUGCCCUGAGGGGGAAAGCAGGGGACCAGCAAUGGCCUUGCGUUGUCGGAGCGGCCGAUAUCGGAUUAGCUAGUUGGUGAAGUAAAGGCUCACCAAGGCGACGAUCCGUAGCGGGUCUGAGAGGAUGAUCCGCCACACUGGGACUGAGACACGGCCCAGACUCCUACGGGAGGCAGCAGUGGGGAAUUUUGGACAAUGGGGGCAACCCUGAUCCAGCCAUGCCGCGUGAGUGAAGAAGGCCUUCGGGUUGUAAAGCUCUUUCAGACGGGAAGAAAAGGUUUCGGAUAAUACCUGGAGCUGAUGACGGUACCGUAAGAAGAAGCACCGGCUAACUACGUGCCAGCCGCCGCCGUAA